GCCUGGGUGGUUCAUUCGGUUGAGCAUCCGACUUCGGAUCAGGUCAUGAUCCCAUAGUUCAUGGGUUCAAGCCCCACCCUGGGCU
rnacentral:tRNA from 1 species